rnacentral:rRNA from 1 species
AGAGUUUGAUCAUGGCUCAGAUUGAACGCUGGCGGCAGGCCUAACACAUGCAAGUCGAGCGGUAGCACAGAGAGCUUGCUCUCGGGUGACGAGCGGCGGACGGGUGAGUAAUGUCUGGGAAACUGCCUGAUGGAGGGGGAUAACUACUGGAAACGGUAGCUAAUACCGCAUAACGUCGCAAGACCAAAGUGGGGGACCUUCGGGCCUCAUGCCAUCAGAUGUGCCCAGAUGGGAUUAGCUAGUAGGUGGGGUAACGGCUCACCUAGGCGACGAUCCCUAGCUGGUCUGAGAGGAUGACCAGCCACACUGGAACUGAGACACGGUCCAGACUCCUACGGGAGGCAGCAGUGGGGAAUAUUGCACAAUGGGCGCAAGCCUGAUGCAGCCAUGCCGCGUGUGUGAAGAAGGCCUUCGGGUUGUAAAGCACUUUCAGCGGGGAGGAAGGCGGUGAGGUUAAUAACCUCACCGAUUGACGUUACCCGCAGAAGAAGCACCGGCUAACUCCGUGCCAGCAGCCGCGGUAAUACGGAGGGUGCAAGCGUUAAUCGGAAUUACUGGGCGUAAAGCGCACGCAGGCGGUCUGUCAAGUCGGAUGUGAAAUCCCCGGGCUCAACCUGGGAACUGCAUUCGAAACUGGCAGGCUAGAGUCUUGUAGAGGGGGGUAGAAUUCCAGGUGUAGCGGUGAAAUGCGUAGAGAUCUGGAGGAAUACCGGUGGCGAAGGCGGCCCCCUGGACAAAGACUGACGCUCAGGUGCGAAAGCGUGGGGAGCAAACAGGAUUAGAUACCCUGGUAGUCCACGCUGUAAACGAUGUCGAUUUGGAGGUUGUGCCCUUGAGGCGUGGCUUCCGGAGCUAACGCGUUAAAUCGACCGCCUGGGGAGUACGGCCGCAAGGUUAAAACUCAAAUGAAUUGACGGGGGCCCGCACAAGCGGUGGAGCAUGUGGUUUAAUUCGAUGCAACGCGAAGAACCUUACCUGGUCUUGACAUCCACAGAACUUUCCAGAGAUGGAUUGGUGCCUUCGGGAACUGUGAGACAGGUGCUGCAUGGCUGUCGUCAGCUCGUGUUGUGAAAUGUUGGGUUAAGUCCCGCAACGAGCGCAACCCUUAUCCUUUGUUGCCAGCGGUCAGGCCGGGAACUCAAAGGAGACUGCCAGUGAUAAACUGGAGGAAGGUGGGGAUGACGUCAAGUCAUCAUGGCCCUUACGACCAGGGCUACACACGUGCUACAAUGGCAUAUACAAAGAGAAGCGACCUCGCGAGAGCAAGCGGACCUCAUAAAGUAUGUCGUAGUCCGGAUUGGAGUCUGCAACUCGACUCCAUGAAGUCGGAAUCGCUAGUAAUCGUAGAUCAGAAUGCUACGGUGAAUACGUUCCCGGGCCUUGUACACACCGCCCGUCACACCAUGGGAGUGGGUUGCAAAAGAAGUAGGUAGCUUAACCUUCGGGAGGGCGCUUACCACUUUGUGAUUCAUGACUGGGGUGAAGUCGUAACAAGGUAACCGUAGGGGAACCUGCGGUUG